AUUGAACGCUGGCGGCAGGCCUAACACAUGCAAGUCGAGCGGAUGAAGGGAGCUUGCUCCUGGUUCCCGCGGCGGACGGGGGAGUAAUGCCUAGGAAUCUGCUUGGUAGUGGGGGAUAACGUCCGGAAACGGGCGCUAAUACCGCAUACUUCCUGCGGGUGAAAGGUGGGGAUCUUCGGACCUCACGCUCUCGUAGGGACCUAGUCCGGAUUAGCUAGUUGGUGGGGUAAAGGCCUACCAAGCCGAGGAUCCGUAACUGGCCUGAGAGGAUGAUCGGUCACACUGGAACUGAGACACGGUCCAGACUCCUACGGGAGGCAGCAGUGGGGAAUAUUGGACAAUGGGCGAAAGCCUGAUCCAGCCAUGCCGCGUGUGUGAAGAAGGUCUUCGGAUUGUAAAGCACUUUAAGUUGGGAGGAAGGGCAGUAAGUUAAUACCUUGCUGUUUUGACGUUACCAACAGAAUAAGCACCGGCUAACUUCGUG
rnacentral:rRNA from 1 species